CUUGCAGGUAGACAGCCAAUAAGGAUUGUGUUAUGAAGAGACCUCAUCAUGUUGUGAAACCCCCAGAGAGCAAACCAGUGGCAAGGAAAAACUCCUUAGAAGGAAGAAACCUUGGGAGGAACCAGACUCAAAGGGGAAGCCCAUCCUCCAAGUGCCGGCACAGGAAGUGAUAUGAGCAAAAUGUCAAGGUGGCAGCAAAGCACGUGUGAAGAAGAGGCCAUCAGCAGUACAAAGCACCGGCUGUACAGGUUCUCAGCAGACAAUCCAAACCUCCUUCAUUAA